rnacentral:lncRNA from 1 species
AUUACAUUACAGCUCUACAAUGCACCAGACGGACCCAUCUGGAUUCUUUCGGGGCUCUUAGCCCUAGAAAUAGCAUCAUUUCUUCAAACUGGUGAGUCCUCCUGUCUAAAAUCAGGAUGCAGAGAGUUGAUGCACGGCAUGGCACAGGAUGCUGGGCAAGGCUGGCAGGCCCGGGAGAGCCUGUGGCCAGCCUGGGUCCAGGAAGUGGGCAGCUGCCACAGAGGGGCCUCCGAGGCUAGCUGCCUCCUAACUUCCUCACGGCACACCAUUCUGCCGUCCUGAGUCUUCUCAAGGUUGGAAGGUGCCCAGAUCCAGGGAGAUGGUGCUGGCUCUUUGGUGGCUGUGGAGUGUCCAGACAGAUGAGCUGGAAUCCUUCAGUUUCUCUGCCUCUCCUGUCAAGUUGGGGUAGCACUGCUUGGACUCUUGCCCCGGCUGCAUUGACCAAGCCUUGAUGUUGCCUUGACCAAGCCUUGAUGUUGCCUUCUUUGCCAAACCACUGGCCACGAUGUUGCUGGCACAGCAGCCCAAAGGCAGCUGCUUGUCCAUCUCAGCCUGACCCAGCCUUCAUGCGGGCUCCAUCUCAGCCAUUGUAAAGCAAGCUCCUAGUUCUAGUUCUCCCCCACAAAUUUUAUUGCUAAAUAAACAAUUAAGCUACCCCUUUAAAUAGUAAAAAUAUGUAUAUACAAACAAGAUCUAAACCCAUCACAAGAAUGUAUCAACCAAGCCAGGCACAGCGGCAUGCACCUGUGGUCCCAGCUAUUCAGGAGGCUGAGGCUGAAGGAUCAGUUAUGCCCAGGUUGGAAUCCAGCCUGGGCAACAUAGUUGUAUUAGUCCAUUGUUAUGCUGCUGAUAAAGACACACCUGAGACUGGGAAGAAAAAGAGACUUAAUUGGAUUCACAGUUCCACGUGGCUGGGAAGGCCUCAGAAUCAUGGUGGAGGACAAAAGGCACACCAUACAUGGCGGCAGCAAGAAAGAAUGAGGAAGAAAUAAAAGCAGAAGCCCCUGAUAAACCCAUCAGAUCUCAUGAGACUUACUCACCAUCACAAGAAUAGCAUGGAAACGAUCGACCCCCAUGAUUCAGUUACCUCCCCCUGAGUUGCUCCCACAACAUGUGGGAAUUCUGAGAGAUACAAUUGAAGUUGAGAUUUGAAUGGGGACACAGCCAAAUCUUAUCAUUCUUUCCCUGGCCCCUCCAAAUCUUAUGUCCUCACAUUUCAAAACCAAUCAUGCCUUCUCAACACUCCCCCAAAGUCUUAACUCAUUUCAGCAUUAACCCAAAAGUCCACAGUCCAAAGUCUCAUCUGAGACAAGGCAUGGUGGAAGUUUCUUCCACCUAUGGGCCUGUAAAAUCAAAAGCAAGCUAGUUCCUUCCUAGAUACAAUAGGGGUACAGGUAUUGGGUAAAUACAGCUGUUCCAAAUGGGAGAAAUUGGCCAAAACAAAGGGGUUACAGGGCCCAUGCAAGUCCAAAAUCCAGCGGGAAUGUCAAAUUUUAAAGCUCCAAAAUGAUGUCCUUUGACUCCAGGUCUCACAUCCAGGUCAUGCUGAUGCAAGAGGUAGGUUCCCAUGGUCUUGGGCAGCUCUGCCCCUGUGGCUUUUCAGGGUACAGCCUCCAUCCCAGCUGCUUUCAUGGGUUGGCGUUGAGUGUCUGUGGCUUUUCCAGGCACACAGUGCAAGCUGUUUGUGGAUCUACCAUUCUGGGGUCUGGUGGACAAUGGCCCUCUUCUCAUAGCUCCACUAGCCAGUGCCCCAGUAAGGACUCUGUGUGAGGGCUCCAACCCCACAUUUCCCUUCUGCACUGCCCUGGCAGAGGUUCUCCAUGAGGGCCCCACCCCUGCAGCAAACUUUUGCCUGGGCAUCCAGGUGUUUCCACACAUCUUCUGUAAUCUAGGUGGAGGUUCCCAAACCUCAGUUCUUGACUUCUGUGCACCCUCAUGCUCAACACCACGUGGAAGCUACCAAGGCUUGGGGCUUCCACCCUCUGAAGCCACAGCCUGAGCUGUAUGUCGGCCCCUUUCAGUCAUGGCUGGAGCAUCUGGAACACAGGGCACCAAGUCCCUAGGCUGCACACAGCACAGGGACCCUGGGCCUGGCCCACAAAACCACUUUUGCCUCCUGGGCCUCUGGACCUGUGAUGGGAGGGGCUGCCAUGAAGGUCUGUGACAUGGCCUGGAGACAUUUUCCCCAUGGUCUUGGGGAUUAACAUUAGGCUCCUUGCUACUUAUGAAAUUUCUGCAGCCGGCUUGAAUUUCUCCCCAGAAGAUGGGUUUUUCUUUUCUACUGCAUCGUCAGGCUGCAGAUGUUCUGAACUUUGAUGCUCUGCUUCCCUUUUAAAAGGGAAUGCUUUUAACAGCACCCAGGUCACAGCUUGAAUGAUUUGCUGCUUAGAAAUUUCUUCCACCCAAUACCCUAAAUCAUCUCUCUCAAGUUCAAAGUUCCACAAAUCUCUAGGGCAGAAGCAAAAUGCUCCCUGUCUCUUUGCUAAAACAUAACAAAGUCACCUUUACUCCAGUUCCCAACAAGCUCCUCAUCUCCUUCUGAGACCACCUCAGCCUGGACCUUAUUGUCCAUAUUGCUAUCAGGCUUUUGGUCAAAGCCAUUCAACGAGUCUCUAGGAAGUUCCAAACUUUCCCACAUUUUCCUGUCUUCCUCAGAGCGCUCCAAACUGUUCCAAAAUCUGCCUGUUACCCAGUUCCAAAAUUGCUUCCACAUUUUGGUGUAUCUUUUCAGCAGCACCCCACUCUACUGGUACCAAUUUACUGCAUUAGUCUGUAUUCACACUGCUGAGAAAGACAUACCUGAAACUGGGAAGAAAAAGAGGUUUAAUUGGACUUACAGUUCCACAUGACUGGGGAGGCCUCUGAAUCAUGGAGGGAGGCAAAAGGCACUUCUUACAUGGUGGCAGCAAGAGAGAAUGAGGAAGAAGCAAAAGCAGAUAAAACUAUUAGAUCUCGUGAGACUUAUUCACUAUCAUGAGAAUAGCAUGGAAAAGACCGGCCCCCGUGAUUCAAUGACCUCCCCCUGGGUCCCUCCCACAACACAUGGGAAUUCUGGGAGAUACAAUUGAAGUUGAGAUUUGAAUGGGGACACAGCCAAACCAUAUCAGUAGUGUCCCCUGUCUCUCAAAAAAGGAAAGAAUUAAUCAACCAAAGGAGAAAUCUGAGUGGCUGUGGCUAGUGCUCUGGGCUGGGCAUGGACAGUAGUCCCAGGGAAGCCUCCCUGUCACGAAUUAUGGUGGCCAAUUAACCAUGUCAGCCGUAGUUUCAUCAUAACCAGAGUUUCAAAGAGAGAAUGAAUCAUAAAACUUUAAAGCUUAGAAAAGAUCUCAGAAAUUAAGACCCGUAUCUUAGAGUGGAGCUUCUCAAAUGUCAUCGUGCAUGCGAUCCCCUGGGCAUCUCGUUAGGGAGAGUUCUGAGUCGGAGGACAGGGGCAGGGCAGGGGGCAGGGAUCAGCAUCUCUAACCAGCUCCUGGGGAGGCCGCUGUGGGGCCAUGCUGGGAUGGCAAGGCCUCAGAGG